AUGUUGAAAACGAAUGUUGAAUGUUGAAAACGAAUGUUAAAAGAUGAAAAUCGAAUGUUGAAUGUUGAAAACGAAUGUUGAAUGUUGAAAAUCGAAUGUUGAAAACGAAUGUUGAAUGUUGAAAAUCGAAUGUUGAAAACGAAUGUUGAAUGUUGAAAACGAAUGUUGAAAGUUGAAAAUCGAAUGUUGAAAACGAAUGUUGAAUGUUGAAAACGAAUGUUGAAUGUAUAAAACGAAUGUUGAUUGUUGAAAACGAAUGUUGAAUGUUAAAAACGAAUGUUGAAUGUUGAAAACGAAUGUUGAAUGUUGAAAACGAAUGUUGAAAGUUGAAAAUCGAAUGUUGAAAGAUGAAAAUCGAAUGUUGAAUGUUGAAAACGAAUGUUGAAAGUUGAAAAUCGAAUGUUGAAAAA